GCGGACGUGGUGAAAUUGGUAGACACGCAGGAUUUAGGUUCCUGUGGGGUAACCCGUGGGGGUUCAAGUCCCUCCGCCCGCACCA
rnacentral:tRNA from 1 species